GACUUCUUCCUUGCCAAAGAAACCAAGCCCUCUGCCAGGGACUGAGCCAAUCAGUGCUCAGUCCCAGACCUCCCUUCCCAGGGGAGGGUAAAUGAGCAGCCUGAGUCCAGCAGCUUUUUGAGCUCCUGGGUAUCGUGGUGUCAGACACACAGAAAAAAGAGGACAUGAUCAAUAGAUGGAAGAGAAAAUAUUUAAAAGCGUAUGUUAUGAGAAUCCACAGCCUACAGAAGUCGUUGGUACAGAGUUUGAGGCCAGACUGUCUGAUUUGAAUGUAGCUCCUCCAUUGACUACAGGCAAUUGAGACUUUCCAACACAGCGGCCCCAUAGACUGGGAAACUGUUGGGGUUGUUGAGAGCCUAGUUUACAGAAUUAAUAUUUGUAAGUUCCAGAGCGAAAACAUUUGUCCUGAAAGGAAGCUCAGCAGUCAAGUCUGGUAAGGUUCAGGUUGCAAUUCAUUCCAGGAAAAAGUUAUCAGAAUUCACCCAGGUCAGAGGCUUCCAUCCAAGCUACUCUAUGGCUGGCCAUAAAAUUACCGACAUAUUCCUUUGUGGUUGGGAAUCUGUUGCUAGCAACAGAAGAUGAAGAAUUUCCAUGCUGAAUGCACAGUUAAAGGCAUAUUUUCUUCUUUCCUUCACAAUGGAGUAAGCUCACUUAAUUUGCCAGUCACCCAAGCUGGAAGAGAGGCCCUUCUGACCAACUGACCAUGCUCAUGAUCGAGAAAAAAAUACCCAAGACUAUGACCAAUGAAGUACAGAGGUUUUGGCUAGACCAUGGCUUGGGAUGCUAUGAAAGCCACGACCAUGGCUUCAAUAUUUCUUCACUUCUAGAGAGAGAGUCCUCACACUGCUUCACCUCACAGCAGGAAGCAGAAAGGCAGAUUAAGAUCUUGAACUUUCAACACCUUCUCUAGUACCAUGACUGCCUGCAUGCCCCUAUGUUUCCUGCUGUGAUGAUAAUGGAGUAAACCUCUGAAACUGUAAGUAAGCCCCAAAUAAAUGUUUUCCUUUAUAAGAGUUCCAUUAGACAGGAUGUCUCUCCAUGGCAAUAAAAUCUUAACUAAGAUACCUCCCAUGUUUUCUUCUAAGAGUUUUACAGAUUUAGCUCUUACAUUGAGGCCUUUGAUAUAUUUU
rnacentral:sRNA from 1 species